rnacentral:tRNA from 1 species
GGAGGGGUGCGAGAGUGGAUGAAUCGGCCGCACUUGAAAUGCGGUAGGGCAGAAAUGUCCCUCGUGAGUUCGAAUCUCACCCCCUCCGCGA